AAACUUUCAACAACGGAUCUCUUGGUUCUGGCAACGAUGAAGAACGCAGCGAAAAUGCGAUAAGUAAUGUGAAUUGCAGAAUUCAGUGAAUCAUCGAAUCUUUGAACGCACAUUGCGCCCCCCUGGUAUUCCGGGGGGCACACCUGUUCGAGCGCCAUU
rnacentral:rRNA from 1 species